rnacentral:rRNA from 1 species
UACGUAGGGGGCUAGCGUUGUCCGGAAUCAUUGGGCGUAAAGCGCGCGUAGGCGGCCCGGUAAGUCCGCUGUGAAAGUCAAAGGCUCAACCUUUGAAUGUCAGCGGAUACUGCCAGGCUAGAGUCCGGAAGAGGCGAGUGGAACUCCUGGUGUAGCGGUGGAAUGCGCAGAUAUCGGGAGGAACACCUAUGGCGAAGGCAGCUCGCUGGGACGUUACUGACGCUGAGACGCGAAAGCGUGGGGAGCAAACAGG